GCUGCGCGCACCAACUUGUUGUAGGGGGACACCAUGGAAGGUGUACAAAAUUAGCAAUGGAUCUCUAGGCUGGUGAUGACCAUGUAAAUUCGUUUCAGUGGAUUUGGGGCUGUACAUUCGUUUCAAAGCAUGGCUAUGUCAUAUAUUGUGGCGUCUGGAUUAGUCAUCAAUGAUCAUGAACACUCAUGCUGGUAUAUUUUCAGAAUCAUAACAGGGACGUAGUUUGCUACAGUUCUAAGUUAUGAUCCUAAAUUUAAACUUGAUGGUGCUGAGAUUAAAGUACAUUUUGGGCAGUGUAAUACAACACUUGCGAAAACUGAAGAUUUGGUACAGAGUCGCAAAAAGUUCAAUACUAUUGGUAAUGCAGAAAAAAAUAUUGCAUGGCCUUCAACCUUUAUUGAAAUGAUAUAUGGAUGAUUAUAUGGGUGCGUAACAAGUAUACUGCAACGAUGAUGAUGAUACUCUGGUUCAUGAUGAUGGAUGCUUUCAAUUUUAGUUAAGUUGUGGGAUGUUCCUGUUGGACGAUGUUCCGCAAUUAGUUUUAGUUAAGUUGUAGGGAUGUUGAUGGAUGAUUUUAGUUUAGAUUUUGUUGUCAAGAAAAUAUUAGAUUAUGCAUCACAUUUGGAUGGUGUUCCUCCUGUAAUAUCCAUUAUUGUAAUCCAACAAUUUUAUCUAAUAUAUGAUUUCUUCCUCU